UUCUGGGACACAAGGGCUAGGAGCAAGCUGGCCAGGGAGCAGGGUAGAAGGACGUUUGGUGGCACAGCGUUACUCCUGCUGACUUAUAACGUUCUGUGUUGUGCAGGUUUCCUCCUCCAUUACACCGUCAUAUGCAGACACGCCGGAAAACGUAUGACAGCUGCUUAAGCCAGAUGUGUUUGUGGUACCAUGGUGUGACCCAGCGUAAGAAAGCUCACCUCUAGAAGAUGCCUAUGGAAAUGGAAUCCACAAAUCAAGGAACAAAGCAAUGAUUGAAACACGAGUAUUGCUGUAAUGUUCAGGGGGAGACUCAGCACAAGCACUAUGGUGUAAACUGAAGGAACAAAACGCGUCAGCCAUGGACUAGUGAGAUGGAUCCAGGGUCUCACCAGUUAGAGCACUGCUGUUGCCAUUAGCUCUGUUUCUAAUGGAGCAUCAAAGAUGGUCACCUGCCUGGGGUGGAUACUCUGAACUACUUUUUGCUGAUGGAUUUUACAAACUUUGUGUUGCCUACAAAUUCAGCUGUCAGUGCAUCUCCUGAAGUUGUGAACGGAAGGCAAUGCCAUUGUUUUGAGGAAGUCCACCAGCACGUCCCGCCAGGCUGGUCACUUCCAUAGUAACUUGCUAUUGCCUGGUCACCUCCUUAGCCAUGGGACAACUGUAAACCAUUCUUCACCAUCAGUAACCUUAUCCGUGUCAUUGCAU